AACCGCCACGUGCCGAACGGUUUGCGUGGUGGUGUGAGAGGACGGAAAUUCAAUUAAUGAAUUUCCUCCUACUCGAU
rnacentral:misc_RNA from 1 species